CUAACCCCGUCCGGCAAGGACCAGCCAUCCACCGGAAGCGAGUCUUGUGUGGUGCUCGGGUAACCGGCACUGCGAAGCUUAGACAGCGAGUGUAUAGGCCGUGUAAUACAGCCUCGAAAUGUCCGCAGCGUGGAAGCCGACGCCUUAUAAAUAGUGGAAGGCAAUAUUGAAAUACCGCAAUGGCUUGGUAUUGAAAUCCCACCGGGGUCAGAGAGCA
rnacentral:ncRNA from 2 species